CCGGAGCUUGCUCCACCGGAAAAAGAAGAGUGGCGAACGGGUGAGUAACACGUGGGUAACCUGCCCAUCAGAAGGGGAUAACACUUGGAAACAGGUGCUAAUACCGUAUAACAAUCGAAACCGCAUGGUUUUGAUUUGAAAGGCGCUUUCGGGUGUCGCUGAUGGAUGGACCCGCGGUGCAUUAGCUAGUUGGUGAGGUAACGGCUCACCAAGGCYACGAUGCAUAGCCGACCUGAGAGGGUGAUCGGCCACAUUGGGACUGAGACACGGCCCAAACUCCUACGGGAGGCAGCAGUAGGGAAUCUUCGGCAAUGGACGAAAGUCUGACCGAGCAACGCCGCGUGAGUGAAGAAGGUUUUCGGAUCGUAAAACUCUGUUGUUAGAGAAGAACAAGGAUGAGAGUAACUGUUCAUCCCUUGACGGUAUCUAACCAGAAAGCCACGGCUAACUACGUGCCAGCAGCCGCGGUAAUACGUAGGUGGCAAGCGUUGUCCGGAUUUAUUGGGCGUAAAGCGAGCGCAGGCGGUUUCUUAAGUCUGAUGUGAAAGCCCCCGGCUCAACCGGGGAGGGUCAUUGGAAACUGGGAGACUUGAGUGCAGAAGAGGAGAGUGGAAUUCCAUGUGUAGCGGUGAAAUGCGUAGAUAUAUGGAGGAACACCAGUGGCGAAGGCGGCUCUCUGGUCUGUAACUGACGCUGAGGCUCGAAAGCGUGGGGAGCAAACAGGAUUAGAUACCCUGGUAGUCCACGCCGUAAACGAUGAGUGCUAAGUGUUGGAGGGUUUCCGCCCUUCAGUGCUGCAGCUAACGCAUUAAGCACUCCGCCUGGGGAGUACGACCGCAAGGUUGAAACUCAAAGGAAUUGACGGGGGCCCGCACAAGCGGUGGAGCAUGUGGUUUAAUUCGAAGCAACGCGAAGAACCUUACCAGGUCUUGACAUCCUUUGACCACUCUAGAGAUAGAGCUUCCCCUUCGGGGGCAAAGUGACAGGUGGUGCAUGGUUGUCGUCAGCUCGUGUCGUGAGAUGUUGGGUUAAGUCCCGCAACGAGCGCAACCCUUAUUGUUAGUUGCCAUCAUUYAGUUGGGCACUCUAGCAAGACUGCCGGUGACAAACCGGAGGAAGGUGGGGAUGACGUCAAAUCAUCAUGCCCCUUAUGACCUGGGCUACACACGUGCUACAAUGGGAAGUACAACGAGUCGCGAAGUCGCGAGGCUAAGCUAAUCUCUUAAAGCUUCUCUCAGUUCGGAUUGUAGGCUGCAACUCGCCUACA
rnacentral:rRNA from 1 species